rnacentral:rRNA from 1 species
AUUGAACGCUGGCGGCAGGCUUAACACAUGCAAGUCGAGCGGGGGAAGGUAGCUUGCUACCGGACCUAGCGGCGGACGGGUGAGUAAUGCUUAGGAAUCUGCCUAUUAGUGGGGGACAACAUCUCGAAAGGGAUGCUAAUACCGCAUACGUCCUACGGGAGAAAGCAGGGGAUCUUCGGACCUUGCGCUAAUAGAUGAGCAUAAGUCGGAUUAGCUAGUGGGUGGGGUAAAGGCCUACCAAGGCGACGAUCUGUAGCGGGUCUGAGAGGAUGAUCCGCCACACUGGGACUGAGACACGGCCCAGACUCCUACGGGAGGCAGCAGUGGGGAAUAUUGGACAAUGGGGGGAACCCUGAUCCAGCCAUGCCGCGUGUGUGAAGAAGGCCUUAUGGUUGUAAAGCACUUUAAGCGAGGAGGAGGCUACUCUAGUUAAUACCUAGGGAUAGUGGACGUUACUCGCAGAAUAAGCACCGGCUAACUCUGUGCCAGCCGCCGCGGUAA